AGCCAAAUUACAGCUUCCAGCUGCCGUUUAAUGAUCAUGCCCCUACUCGGACAUGACUUCGCCUUGCACAAAGCCCUUUUGCAUGUAUGAUCUCGUGGGAACCUUCCAAUAACCAGGUGCAGCCUAGCUUGUGCAGAGACCACAGGAAGGGAAUACUGGGAAGACAAAGAAACGAGUCCACAAGACAGACGUUGAAUUCCCCUGCAUCAAGACCAGCACCCCAGGCACUGAUGACCACCCUACCCGCGCCUCCACUCUCCAGCCCCUGCCGUCACCUGCCCAGGCACCCAGCGUUUACCUCCUCUGCAGACCAUAAGAGAAAUGGGGACACUUGGUGAAGACCACAUUUUCAAAAGCAAAAUCAAUAAUAUGCCUGAGGAUGUCUCCCAUAUUUUUAGCAGCAUUUUCUAGCUCCAGCCUUGCUCCUAACAAAGAAAUCCAAGGAUGAUGCAGGCAGUUCCAGAAGCCCCAACACCACCAAGCUGGUUCCAGAAGCCCCAACACCACUCACCUGGCUCCCCAUGCCAGCCACUGCACCACCUGAACAAAGCAGCAGGCUACAUCUGCGGGAUGUUUCCACAUCUGUGGCCACGUGGCCACAGAUCCCCACUGCAGAGCUGCACUUACCUGGCCUUGGACAGGCUUCAAAGGUCUGCACUUACCUGGCCAUAGACCCCACAGAAAUCUUUAAAGUCUUGAUUUACCCAUGGCUGUUUUCUGUUCCCUUUGCACGCUCCAGAGUAUUCUGGAUUGUAAACCACGAGGAUAACAAAUCUGACCUCUGUCUUGGACUUAAUGACAAUGCCUCUUCCUAAACAUUCUCUGACCCAGGUUUAUCGUUUUUAAAGGAAAGAAAAUGAAAACAGGUUGACAGUGCCACCCCAUCCUUGCAGAAGGCUGCGAUGUGACAGGAGAAGCAGCUUGGCCUAACAGGAGGCCUGAGAUCUGCUGUCAAUUUGCAACAGGACCUCGUGGACAAGUCACAUUACCCCACUCCCACCCUCCUUUCCCAUGUGUUACUGCCAUGCCUGACUCAUAGUGAGAUUAAAAGAGAUAAUGAAUUAGAAAGUCUUGCUAAGACAGCUGGAAAUAGGAACUGUUUUUUUAAAGAAUUGAACAUAUAGAUGGUCCCAAGCCCUGUGUGUAACAAAAUGAUUUUCCAUGAACGUCCUUGAGCGUCUCAAAAGUAGGGGUUGUCUUGGGUAGCAUCCCAGCAUGAUGCCUGACCCACUGCAGGCUUGUUUAGUGAAUCAAUGCCAGGCAGUCCCGACCUGGUCAGUGGGUCAUACAUUCUUUGCUCUGAGGGAUUUGACCGUGUUCCCUUGGUGACCCAAAGCACCCAUUUGUGGGAGGGAGUCUCAGUCACCUGGGGUCAGUGAGCAGACAUUCUCAUGAAUUGGUGCUGGAGAAAAAAGCUGCAAUUAGGCCUCAUUUUUUAACCCCAAGUCCUACCAGCAUAGCUAUUUGACCGAUUUGAUCAUUAAACAGGCCACUUACGGAAAAUAACACGUUCUGUUGUAAAGAUGCUCCUGCAGGACUGCUCUGUCAGCGUCUGCCAGCCCUGCACCCUCAGGCACCUGAAUCACAGGACCCAGGGUUUCCACAGCUCUCUCCUUGCAGGCGCUGUCUCUCUAACCCAGGAAUGAAAGACGGGACUCAGUGAGGCCUAAAGUGGAUGGGCUUGCUCAACUUGAUUUCAGAACGUGGCAAAGGCACUCGGCUCUCCCUGGGGCAGUGCAGGGUGGAACAGCAGUUCCAGGAGAGUGGCAGGAGUCAGGGGAGCACCUAGGGCUGGUGUCCGGUGGAGAGUGCCCAGGAAAACCCUUCUGGUUUGGUUUCCUGUGGUCCUAAGCACUGAAUGCACAAGUAGGUGGUAGCAGCCCUGGCUCACAUCACCCCAUGUAAUCACACUGCAUGGUUUGUGAUCAGAGAACUGGACCAGGACGCAGCAGCCCUGCUGAGUGCUAACCAUCAUCAGCACUGUUACCCGGGUAAGCCGUAACAGUCAGGGCAGUCCUCCUUGUCCACCCAUCACCUUCAGAUGUCCUUCUACAGAUCUACAACUGGAGCUUUCUCCAGAUACAGAGGAUUAAAGAACAGUGACCAAAAGCCAGGCUGAACCGCAGCAGCUCCCAGAAGGUAACACUUCUCUGCAUACAGAGAAGGAUGUGGGCCUGGGAGAAGUGGGCAAGUACACGUCUUCCUUCUCCAGAGCCACGUUGGGGUCCUUUCUUCCUCCUACCUCCCAGCUACCCAACACUGGCACCCCAAUACCCAUCUCUCCACCCUCUCCAGUUCCCUCCUCUCCUCGGGGAAGAUACCAUUGAGGUCACAGCCUAGCCUGGAGCCCUGGGUUCUUUUUCAGCACCAGGGACGCAGCCAACCCUGCUUUGGAAGGGCAUGACGGGUGCCAUCUUGGGGAAAGGAGGCUGAGGAGCGUAUGUGGGAAGAAACACUAAAUUGACUUGAAGGAGAGGGAAAGAGAGAAAACACCCACAGCAAGAACUGGGCAUGGGGAGUGUGUGCUCCUAGCCUGGGGCAAAUCGAUCUCUGAGCACACGCAGACCCAGGCUUCAGUGAAGGUGGUUCGGAAAGGACAGUGAGACCACAUGGAAUAUUCUGUCCAUGUUCUCUUCUGCAACGCCAGACUGAUAAGGAUCCAAGCCAGUCAAGUCAGCCAGCCCACUUCAGACAUGCCCCAGACAGGAGUAGGAGCAGUGUGCUUGGUUCUCUCCUGCACAGCCACCUCCUCAGGUAGCCAAGCCUGAGUGGAGCCCACCCUGCUUGUG